GAUGAAGAACGUAGCGAAAUGCGAUACUUGGUGUGAAUUGCAGAAUCCCGUGAACCAUCGAGUCUUUGAACGCAAGUUGCGCCCGAAGCCAUUAGGCCGAGGGCACGCCUGCCUGGGCGUCACACGUCGUUGCCCCCCCAUCUACUCCUUCGGGAUUGCGGGGGGCGGAUGAUGGCCUCCCGUGCGCCUCGUCGCGCGGUUGGCAUAAAUGCCAAGUCCUCGGCGACGCACGCCACGACAAUCGGUGGUUGCGAAACCUCGGUUGCCCGUCGUGUGCGUUCGUCGCGCAUCGAGGGCUCGAAAAAAUGCUCGGCUCCGGCUGGGCUUUCAACGCGACCCCAGGUCAGGCGGGGUUACCCGCUGAAUUUAAGCAUAUCAAUAAGCGGAGGA
rnacentral:misc_RNA from 1 species